rfam:Myotis brandtii contig171097, whole genome shotgun sequence.
AGUGGUUCUUAGGUGACGCACCCCAGAAUCAGGCUCCCUCCUCUCUGGUUCGGGUGCAUCACCUGAGAACCACA